rnacentral:tRNA from 1 species
UGUCAAGGGAUGGGAAUUGAACCCACGACCUUCCGCUUACCGGGCAGAUGCCAUGACCACUAGUCUACCUUGGAC